rnacentral:rRNA from 1 species
UGGGGCUACACACGUCAUACAAUGGCUGGUACAAAGGGUUGCCAACCCGCGAGGGGGAGCUAAUCCCACAAAGCCAGUCGUAGUCCGGAUCGUAGUCUGCAGCUCGACUACGUGAAGUCGGAAUCGCUAGUAAUCGUGGAUCAGAAUGUCACGGUGAAUUACCGGUUCCCGGGUCUU